rnacentral:lncRNA from 1 species
CCCACCAAGCUAUCAGUGAAGACCAAGAGGAGACCAUUCAACUUCACUCCUAGGUUAAUUCUCUUCAAUAGUAGCUGCUACUGAAUUAAUCUGGCCAGGAGGCAAAGUAGGGCAAGAAUAGAGUGUAUUACAGAAAUUCACAAGAAAGUGCUAACUCGCCAUUUAAGUACUGUUUAUAUACUGUUUAUAGAGCUCCUAUUGUUACAAGGCACUAGGCUGGAGAAAUGGAAGGAAAGAUAUGUUAAUAGAUGGGGGCUGACGGAAAGAAAGGCUUGUUAGAAGUCACAGCAUGCUCUGAUUGUGACAAAGAGUGCUGUGGCUAAGUGACCCAGAUCUACUGACAAGGCUUGG